rnacentral:rRNA from 1 species
AACGAACGCUGGCGGCAGGCUUAACACAUGCAAGUCGAACGCUCCGCAAGGAGAGUGGCAGACGGGUGAGUAACACGUGGGAACGUGCCCUUUACUACGGAACAACCCCGGGAAACUGGAGCUAAUACCGUAUGUGCCCUUCGGGGGAAAGAUUUAUCGGUAAAGGAUCGGCCCGCGUUGGAUUAGCUAGUUGGUGGGGGAAAGGCCUAUCAAGGCGACGAUCCAUAGCUGGUCUGAGAGGAUGAUCAGCCACAUUGGGACUGAGACACGGCCCAAACUCCUCCGGGAGGCAGCAGUGGGGAAUAUUGGACAAUGGGCGCCAGCCUGAUCCAGCCAUGCCGCGUGUGUGAUGGAGGCCUUAGGGUUGUAAAGCACUUUCACCGGAGAAGAUAAUGACGGUAUCCGGAGAAGAAGCCCCGGCUAACUUCGUGCCAGCCGCCGCCGUAAGAC